AUUGAACGCUGGCGGCAGGCCUAACACAUGCAAGUCGAGCGAGCGGCGGACGGGUGAGGAAUGUAUGGGGACUGCCCGAUAGCGGGGGAUAACUACUGGAAAAGGUAGCUAAUACCGCAUACUAUCGGAUAACCCAUAUGGGGUUAGAUAGUAGGUGAGGUAAUGGCGUACCUAGGAGACGAUCCCUAGCUGGUCUGAGAGGAUGAUCAGCCACACUGGGACUGAGACACGGCCCAGACUCCUACGGAGGCAGCAGUGGGGAAUAUUGCGCAAUGGGCGCAAGCCUGACGCGGCCAUGCCGCGUGUAUGAAGAAGGCCCUAGGGUUGUAAAGUACUUUCAGUAGGGAGGCGUUACCUACAGAAGAAGCACCGGCUAACUCCGUGCCAGCAGCCGCGGUAAUAC
rnacentral:rRNA from 1 species